AGAUGUGAGGGCGAUCUGGCUGCAACAUCAGUCACCUGAUUGAUCGCCAGGUUAGAUUUGGCUUAUCUGGCUAGGCAGGUGUCUCCACUGCUCCAUGUGCAUCUGCUCUGAACUUGUACGCUUGGUGGAAGAGGACAACCUUCCCCAGUAGAGGAGGGUGGUUUUAUGGUCACAUGUACACCAGUAGCUGCACUCCCUUGCUAGAACCUCCAAACAAGAUUUCUAAUAGAACCAACCUAAUAGGAUUGUUGUGAGCAUUAAAGGACUAUAUAUACAUAACGUACAUCAAAUAACACCUGACCCAUGAUAAGCACUAUAAAGCGUUAAACGUUGACUAUU
rnacentral:snRNA from 1 species